CAAUACUUUAAAUGGCUUCAGCAACUUAUUGGAAGUUAUUUCCUAGGGAUCCGUGUAUAACCACACAAAAUAGCCCACCAAGCUUAGUGGGGAAUUAGUUUUCGUGACUUUCCAGGGUUCAGAUUUUAAAUUCUUUUCUUUUUUUUCCAUAUGGCAUAGGUAGACUAUAUUUAUAUCUGUAUUUAAAGUUACCAUAUAGGAGUUUUCCAUAAGCCGAGUAAUCAUGCCUGAUUAGUGCUGUGUUCAAAGUAGCAAGACAAGAAUGGCUGUAAAGCGAUAAGUGUGUGUGUGUUUUCAUUUUCAAAAGGAAGAGUGGGACAUAGAAAAAAAGCAAGGAACAUUACAUUGGAUAUGCAAGGAAACUUGUUCGGAUCAAGUAAGCAGCAUUUAUUUGGAGACUGCAGAAAAACACAGAAGAAACAGAUCCACCAUCUGGUACAAGCGUUGUUUAUUCAAAACAAUG